rnacentral:rRNA from 1 species
UACAGAGGGUGCGAGCGUUAGUCGGAAUUACUGGGCGUAAAGCGCGCGUAGGCGGCUUUGCAAGUCGAGUGUGAAAUCCCCAGGCUUAACCUGGGAACUGCAUUCGAGACUGCAUGGCUAGAGUAUGGGAGAGGGAAGUGGAAUUUCAGGUGUAGCGGUGAAAUGCGUAGAUAUCUGAAGGAACAUCAGUGGCGAAAGCGACUUCCUGGACCAAUACUGACGCUCAUGUACGAAAGCGUGGGGAGCAAACAGG